AGCGUGUUAACUCAAUGGUUAGAGUAUUGUGCUACGGACACAAAGGUUGCAGGUUCGAGUCUUGCAUACGUUA